rnacentral:rRNA from 1 species
UACGUAGGGUGCGAGCGUUAAUCGGAAUUACUGGGCGUAAAGCGUGCGCAGGCGGCUUUGCAAGACAGAUGUGAAAUCCCCGGGCUCAACCUGGGAACUGCAUUUGUGACUGCAAGGCUAGAGUACGGCAGAGGGGGAUGGAAUUCCGCGUGUAGCAGUGAAAUGCGUAGAUAUGCGGAGGAACACCAAUGGCGAAGGCAAUGACCGGGACCUGUACUCACGCUCAUGCACGA